rnacentral:lncRNA from 1 species
CUUCGGCGGAGGCUCAAAAAAAAUGUUUAUAGUCCUUUUUGAGAAGGACUCUCUUCCGUCGUUUGAAUUUCACCCUGCAUGGUUAGUGGGAGAGUUCUCGGGUUGCCCCGGGAGUCUACCCGCAUUCUCAGUAGGAAUUGCAGCGGCGAUCUGAGCUAGUUGUGUUUCUAUCAUUUUAUUAAAGCUCAGUUGGUUUUGUACGGAAGAGGCAAGGUUUUCUAUUUUUGUAUUUAUGUUUUCUAAAACCUUAUCAUUGGACAGCAACUUUUUAGUUAAGUUUUCAUUUAUUUUAGCUUGUCCAAGAACUAGGUCUUUUAAUGAAGGUUGAUUCGAAUUAAUACUCGAAUUACCUUGGAACGAAGAGCGUGACUAAUUAUUCCAACCAUUACCUUGGUUGGCGCCUCCUUGUUGGCGGAACCCGUUGUUGAUGUAGACAGCGUCUUCACGGGUUUCGGGGCAAUCAUUCCCCGAAUGGCCAACUUCUCCAUAGACCUCGCACGUCAUGUGCGAGUCUAUGGCCUUCACCG